UACGGAGGGUGCAAGCGUUAUCCGGAUUCACUGGGUUUAAAGGGUGCGUAGGCGGGCAGGUAAGUCAGUGGUGAAAUCUCCGGGCUUAACCCGGAACUGCCGUUGAUACUAUCUGUCUUGAAUAUCGUGGAGGUAAGCGGAAUAUGUCAUGUAGCGGUGAAAUGCUUAGAUAUGACAUAGAACACCAAUUGCGAAGGCAGCCCGCUACACGGUUAUUGACACUGAGGCACGAAAGCGUGGGGAUCAAACAGG
rnacentral:rRNA from 1 species